AUUCUGUGAGGAGGGAACUUCCGUAGUAAUUCUUUGUACCUUUCCCAUACCUCAUGUAAGGACUCAUCAUCCAUUUCUUGGAAAGCAGUGAUCUCGUUCCUCAACUU
rfam:Gossypium raimondii chromosome 11, whole genome shotgun sequence.